ACGGUGAAGCCCAGCUUGCUGGGUGGAUCAGUGGCGAACGGGUGAGUAACACGUGAGCAACCUGCCCUCCACUUCGGGAUAAGCCUUGGAAACGGGGUCUAAUACCGGAUAUGAGCUCGCAUCGCAUGGUGUGGGUUGGAAAGUUUUUCGGUGGGGGAUGGGCUCGCGGCCUAUCAGCUUGUUGGUGGGGUGAUGGCCUACCAAGGCGUCGACGGGUAGCCGGCCUGAGAGGGCGACCGGCCACACUGGGACUGAGACACGGCCCAGACUCCUACGGGAGGCAGCAGUGGGGAAUAUUGCACAAUGGGCGCAAGCCUGAUGCAGCGACGCCGCGUGAGGGAUGACGGCCUUCGGGUUGUAAACCUCUUUCAGCAGGGAAGAAGCGCAAGUGACGGUACCUGCAGAAGAAGCGCCGGCUAACUACGUGCCAGCAGCCGCGGUAAUACGUAGGGCGCAAGCGUUGUCCGGAAUUAUUGGGCGUAAAGAGCUCGUAGGCGGUCUGUCGCGUCUGGUGUGAAAUCCCGAGGCUCAACCUCGGGCUUGCAUCGGGUACGGGCAGACUAGAGUGCGGUAGGGGAGACUGGAAUUCCUGGUGUAGCGGUGGAAUGCGCAGAUAUCAGGAGGAACACCGAUGGCGAAGGCAGGUCUCUGGGCCGCAACUGACGCUGAGGAGCGAAAGCAUGGGGAGCGAACAGGAUUAGAUACCCUGGUAGUCCAUGCCGUAAACGUUGGGCACUAGGUGUGGGGCUCAUUCCACGAGUUCCGUGCCGCAGCUAACGCAUUAAGUGCCCCGCCUGGGGAGUACGGCCGCAAGGCUAAAACUCAAAGGAAUUGACGGGGGCCCGCACAAGCGGCGGAGCAUGCGGAUUAAUUCGAUGCAACGCGAAGAACCUUACCAAGGCUUGACAUGUACGAGAAAGCCCCCGAGACGGGGUUCUCUUUGGACACUCGUACACAGGUGGUGCAUGGUUGUCGUCAGCUCGUGUCGUGAGAUGUUGGGUUAAGUCCCGCAACGAGCGCAACCCUCGUCCUAUGUUGCCAGCGGGUUAUGCCGGGGACUCAUGGGAGACUGCCGGGGUCAACUCGGAGGAAGGUGGGGAUGACGUCAAAUCAUCAUGCCCCUUAUGUCUUGGGCUUCACGCAUGCUACAAUGGCCGGUACAGAGGGCUGCGAUACCGUAAGGUGGAGCGAAUCCCAAAAAGCCGGUCUCA
rnacentral:rRNA from 1 species